UACGGAGGGUGCAAACGUUGCUCGGAAUCAUUGGGCGUAAAGCGCACGUAGGCGGCCAGUUAAGUCGGAUGUGAAAGCCCCGGGCUCAACCCGGGAAGUGCAUACGAUACUGGCAGGCUCGAAUAUGGAAGAGGGUCGCGGAAUUCCCGGUGUAGAGGUGAAAUUCGUAGAUAUCGGGAGGAACACCAGUGGCGAAGGCGGCGACCUGGGCCAAUAUUGACGCUGAGGUGCGAAAGCGUGGGGAGCAAACAGG
rnacentral:rRNA from 1 species